UAGAAACUCAAAGGACUUGGCGGUGCUCCAUAUCGGCCUAGAGGAGCCUGUCCUAUAAUCGAUACUCCACGUUUCACCUUACCGCCCCUAGCCCCCCCAGCCUAUAUACCGCCGUCGUCAGCCUACCUUAUGAAAGAAUCAAAGUAGGCAAAACAGUUAACAACUAAAACGUCAGGUCAAGGUGUAGCAUAUGGGGCGGAAGAGAUGGGCUACACUUUCUCCAACAGAACAUACGAACAGCACUAUGAAAACCGUGCUCAAAGGCGGAUUUAGUAGUAAGACAAAAAAGAAAGUUUGCCUGAACCUCGCUCUGGAGCGCGCACACACCG
rnacentral:rRNA from 1 species